GAUUUCGUGGCGCAAUGGUAGCGCGCCUGACUGACUGCCUGACUGACUGAGAUCAGGAGGUUGCGUGUUCAAAUCACGUCGAGAUCA
rnacentral:tRNA from 1 species